GUGGGGAAUAUUGGACAAUGGGCGAAAGCCUGAUCCAGCCAUGCCGCGUGAGUGAUGAAGGCCUUAGGGUUGUAAAGCUCUUUCAGUAGGGAAGAUAAUGACGGUACCUACAGAAGAAGCCCCGGCUAACUUCGUGCCAGCAGCCGCGGUAAUACGAAGGGGGCUAGCGUUGUUCGGAUUUACUGGGCGUAAAGCGCACGUAGGCGGAUUGAUCAGUUAGAGGUGAAAUCCUGGAGCUCAACUCCAGAACUGCCUUUAAUACUGCCAGUCUAGAGUCCAGAAGAGGUGAGUGGAACUCCUAGUGUAGAGGUGGAAUUCGUAGAUAUUAGGAAGAACACCAGUGGCGAAGGCGGCUCACUGGUCUGGUACUGACGCUGAGGUGCGAAAGCGUGGGGAGCAAACAGGAUUAGAAACCCGGGUAGUCC
rnacentral:rRNA from 1 species